CAGGUGUAGCGGUGAAAUGCGUAGAGAUCUGGAGGAAUACCGAUGGCGAAGGCAGCCUUCUGGCAUCAUACUGACACUGAGGCUCGAAAGCGUGGGUAGCAAACAGGAUUAGAUACCCUGGUAGUCCACGCCGUAAACGAUGUCUACUAGUCGUUGGGUCCCUUGAGGACUUAGUGACGCAGCUAACGCAAUAAGUAGACCGCCUGGGGAGUACGGCCGCAAGGUUAAAACUCAAAUGAAUUGACGGGGGCCCGCACAAGCGGUGGAGCAUGUGGUUUAAUUCGAUGCAACGCGAAGAACCUUACCUGGUCUUGACAUAUCUAGAAUCCUGCAGAGAUGCGGGAGUGCCUUCGGGAAUUAGAAUACAGGUGCUGCAUGGCUGUCGUCAGCUCGUGUCGUGAGAUGUUGGGUUAAGUCCCGCAACGAGCGCAACCCUUGUCCUUAGUUACCAGCGGGUUAAGCCGGGAACUCUAAGGAUACUGCCAGUGACAAACUGGAGGAAGGCGGGGACGACGUCAAGUCAUCAUGGCCCUUACGACCAGGGCUACACACGUGCUACAAUGGUAGGUACAGAGGGCAGCUACACAGCGAUGUGAUGCGAAUCUCAAAAAGCCUAUCGUAGUCCAGAUUGGAGUCUGCAACUCGACUCCAUGAAGUAGGAAUCGCUAGUAAUCGCGGAUCAGAAUGCCGCGGUGAAUACGUUCCCGGGCCUUGUACACACCGCCCGUCACACCAUGGGAGUUGAUUGCACCAGAAAUGGAUAGCUUAACCUUCGGGGAGGCGUUCACCACGGUGUGGUUGAUGACUGGGGUGAAGUCGUAACAAGGUAGCCGUA
rnacentral:rRNA from 1 species